CCGGGCCGUAAAGGCAUGCAUUACCUAAAAUAUUUUUUUUUUUAAAACAAGUUGGCAGUUACAUUUGAAAUGUACUCAAAGCCCACAAUUGAAAAAGAAACACGUGUUUGUGCACUGUCGCGUGUUUUUCUUGACGUGGUCAUGUUUUGAUUAUCUUUGCAGUACUACACAUGAAGACGUGGCUAAAAAUAGACUUUCAACAGAUGUCAAAGGCUGUCUCACUUCAAGAACUCUGUAACAGUUCACGGUGCAUAUUUUUGGACUGAGUUUAGAAGAAGCCCUUCAUAUCUUCAAAUCAUCAUUUCUUUAAAACAAAAAAAAAAACAAGCACGUCAUUAAAUAAUGUGCUUGACUCUCAAAUCAGGUGCUUGAGCCAAGAAAUACAUACACUGGAUUAAAAAAAAAAACUGCCCUCUUCCCCACAGAGAAGAAAUCGUAAAACAAGCGCGAGGCUGCACACCGUGACUUGUCUGCAAGCCAACUUCUGCCAGCAAGCGUUGAGCGUGAGUCGAGCCGGGCUGCUGGCUGCUCACCUCACAUCAUUUUCACAAGCAUCAAAGUCUUGAGCACGCACAAAUACGACAGGAACUGUGGGCUGCUCAGUACGCAGCAGCAAAAACCAGGGCUGGAGUUGGUUUGUGCAAUGCGAGACAGGAAAAUAUUCUGUUGACCAAAGCUGCCAAUCAGCGACUCAAUUAUCUAAUCUACUGAGACUGUGUUCUGGAAAGAGAGAGGAAAUGAAAUCCCGGCGAGGAGCCUUAGCUCAAGUUUUGUUCAAACUCCCAAAAGGGAGGCAAAAUGUACGCAAUAUGUGUCGACUCUAAAAAACUGUAUUGCUAAUCUCCCAUCUGUGCCGCUGGAAUUACCGUCGACGUUCAGUGUGUGGUCCUUAUACUUCGACACGAUCCGAGACGGCACAGCUGGGGCAUUUGCGGGCGCUUUCAUCAGAGUGGAACUCGUGCAAUUGUUUUUUUAAUUGCCACAACAGAAAGUCGACACCUCCUGCUGUGACACUCGCAGGAACUUCAUCUUGUGAGCUUGUCUCGCAAGAUUAACCUUUCAACUGCCUAACCCGAGGACGCCUCCAAGUAAAACUCAUGACGGACCAGCUGUGCAUUGGUUGUGUCAGUAAAAUGUGACUCAUUAAAAAAAAAAUCUUGCCGUUAGUCUGGCAGGUGAGAGAAAGAGACUUCUGUCGGGAUGAUGCUCUUUAGCAUUUGGCAGGACCAAAUCAGAAGCACUUCCAGGACCGAACAAAAUGGAUUCCUACAUUAUUCAGGAAACAGCAGGUGGAAUCUUGAACUCCAGACCACCAAGAGAUGAUGACCCAUCCAUUCAGUUUCUGCCGCUUAUGCUGUUCAGGCGCCGCAGGGACCGGACAAAACUAUCCCAGCGAUGAGGACCACCAGGAAGAGGACAAGAAAGCCGGACGAGCGCUGCUGCAUCCUUGUCAUGACUGCGGCACCCGCGGAUGUGGAAUCUUGCGACGAAAGGACCGGCGCUGGAGUCUCAAGGUUCGGCUGAGGCUCAAAAGUCACGUGGGGUUAGCAGGAACAGAUGCGUCUGCUUCAUGGCUUCCCUGCAUGGAUCCGCUACGCUGGUUGACUAAGUGUCAAUUGGCAGCUUGGAGAUGAGGUCCCGCCUCCGAGCUGUGGCAAAACAAUCGACUCACAAACACAAAAAAAGUUUGCUGUACUUGUUGAAGUUAAUGGAACAAUGCCAGAAUACUUUUAUGACGACAUUUGAGAACUAACUGUGGCAAUACAUAAAUACCGUAUGUCUAUUUAAAGCAGACCACGAAGGAUUUAUUGGCAACGUGCACUUUUAAUGUUUGUCGCAGUCGACCCAUUUGUCAAUGUUACGGCAAUACAUUGUUUCUUUUCAACUUUGAAGUUCUGGGUUCAUCAACAUUCCGUCUCAUCGUGACACACUGCACCAGUUAGCCCAUUUUCAGCCCCCUCGGGUAAGCAAUCAGUGCUAAGUGGCAACAUCAAGGGCGCAGUCUGCAUUCCAAAACAACAAAGAGUGAGGUGGCAAUAAACCGGGUGCGGGGGAAUUGCUUGCUUGCAGUAACUCAAGUCUGUUUGUGACCUGACUUAGGGACCGCCGGGUUAAAGGUUCUGAUCCUGCUUUCUGAAGAAGAAACACAGACAGCUGAGUGGGUGUGGAGAGAUGCUUGUCAGGUCAAGGGUUUGUUUUUUCUAUCCUCUCGGCGAUUACCUGAUUCCAGAAAGAGGCCCUCCGAGCUCGCCGCGUGGAAUUGGGUCUGGUUUGCAUCAACAUGCAGAAAAAAAAAAAAUCGACCUAUACGGAUGCUCCCUCUAAAGUGGCGGAUCCGGUCGCGAGUAAGCCUCAAACUCUCCGAUCGUUUUUGAUGAGCACGUGUUGCGGUUCACUCAUCACUGUCUGUCUCUGUUUUGUUUAGUCAACUUCUUUUCAUUCUCGGGGUUGGAUGGACCGGGAAUAAAAAAAAACAAAUUUAGAGUUCGUGUAAAAGUUUCGAUGUUUCGACCGAAUUUGGCAUCUGGUUCUUAUUGUCAGGGUUGUCAUACAUUUGCUUUGGAGAAAUGCGGUCGGCUAAUAAUUCCAAAAGUUGCUUUGACAACAUCGGCUCUCCUUGUUUCACACCCCUUCUCCCCUUCCCACUGUUUGUCAUGGCUGUAGUCAGCAAGGUCUCAGAGGAUGGGGGGGAGGGGGGUUUCGUUUUUCCAUCAUGCGUCUAAACAAACAUCUUCUUUUCCUUUCCCUUUGGCUUAACCCUCCU